GUGAUUAAAUCGAGCGUGUCUUCAUUGACCGCUCACCCUUCUCACCACCCACAUACACCUGUGCACUGUUUAGCCUGAGCCGGUUUUCCGGUCCAGGCUAUCAUUUCAUACAAACUCUAGUCUUAUGAAUGUAAGCGUUUUAAUAACAUAAUA
rnacentral:misc_RNA from 1 species